CCACAUUCAUUUCAUGGAAUGGAAUAUAUUCAAUGGAUCGAAUUUCAUGACUUUUCACCCAAUACUCAUUAUUUUGCCUUAGCCAUCACAAUAUCAUCAAUAUGGUGUAUUGAGAUUCAAACUCAAUAUUUUAUCCAUAUAAAGGCGUCUUAGGCAUAAAUCAAUAGGACUUGAACCCAAAUAUUAUCAUCCCUUUUGAUAAUAUUGUUCUUGAGGAAUGAAUUUAAAACAUAAAUGGUUCCAAACCAAUUAUUUUUCCUCAAAUUCAACAAUAAUUAUAUCAUUAAUAGAAAAAUACAAAUAACAUAAGGAAUU
rnacentral:lncRNA from 1 species